CCUACGGGCGGCAGCAGUGGGGAAUAUUGGACAAUGGGGGCAACCCUGAUCCAGCCAUGCCGCGUGUGUGAAGAAGGCCCUCGGGUUGUAAAGCACUUUCAGUGAGGAAGAACGCCUGGUGGUUAAUACCCAUCAGGAAAGACAUCACUCACAGAAGAAGCCCCGGCUAACUCCGUGCCAGCAGCCGCGGUAAUACGGAGGGUGCGAGCGUUAAUCGGAAUUACUGGGCGUAAAGCGCGCGUAGGUGGCUUGAUAAGCCGGUUGUGAAAGCCCCGGGCUCAACCUGGGAACGGCAUCCGGAACUGUCAAGCUAGAGUGCAGGAGAGGAAGGUAGAAUUCCCGGUGUAGCGGUGAAAUGCGUAGAGAUCGGGAGGAAUACCAGUGGCGAAGGCGGCCUUCUGGACUGACACUGACACUGAGGUGCGAAAGCGUGGGUAGCAAACAGGAUUAGAUACCCCAGUAGUC
rnacentral:rRNA from 1 species